UUUAUGGAGAGUUUGAUCCUGGCUCAGGACGAACGCUGGCGGCGUGCCUAAUACAUGCAAGUCGAGCGAACAGAAAAGGAGCUUGCUCCUUUGACGUUAGCGGCGGACGGGUGAGUAACACGUGGGCAACCUACCCUAUAGUUUGGGAUAACUCCGGGAAACCGGGGCUAAUACCGAAUAAUCUCUUUUGCUUCAUGGUGAAAGA
rnacentral:rRNA from 1 species